GCCCUGGCAGCACAGUAAUUAAGCAUUUGGCUGCUAACCAAAAAGCUGGCAGUUCAAAUCUGCCAGGCA
rnacentral:tRNA from 1 species